rnacentral:rRNA from 1 species
AACGCGAAGAACCUUACCUACUCUUGACAUCCUGCGAACUUGGUAGAGAUACCUUGGUGCCUUCGGGAACGCAGAGACAGGUGCUGCAUGGCUGUCGUCAGCUCGUGUUGUGAAAUGUUGGGUUAAGUCCCGUAACGAGCGCGACCCUUGUCCUUAGUUGCCAUCAUUUAGUUGGGGACUCUAAGGAGACUGCCGGUGACAAACCGGAGGAAGGCGGGGACGACGUCAAGUCAUCAUGGCCCUUACGAGUAGGGCUACACACGUGCUACAAUGGCAAGUACAGAGGGCCGCGAAGCCGCGAGGUGGAGCUAAUCUCACAAAGCUUGUCGUAGUCCGGAUUGGAGUCUGCAACUCGACUCCAUGAAGUCGGAAUCGCUAGUAAUCGCAAAUCAGAAUGUUGCGGUGAAUACGUUCCCCGGGUCUGUACACACCG